UACGGAGGGGACUAGCGUUGUUCGGAAUUACUGGGCGUAAAGCGCACGUAGGCGGAUUUGUAAGUCAGGGGUGAAAUCCCGGGGCUCAACCUCGGAACUGCCUUUGAUACUGCAAAUCUCGAGUCCGGAAGGGGUGAGUGGAAUUCCUAGUGUAGAGGUGAAAUUCGUAGAUAUUAGGAAGAACACCAGUGGCGAAGGCGGCUCACUGGUCCGGUACUGACGCUGAGGUGCGAAAGCGUGGGGAGCAAACAGG
rnacentral:rRNA from 1 species